UCACAGCACAGAAAAGCUUGAAUCUGGGAGAUAAACCUGCCGGACUGAAACUAUCUAAUAAGGAUGCAGGUGCUGCUCUGUGAGGUAACACUGGACCAAUCAGAACAUGCGCACUGACAAGGCACCUGGCCUGAGUGGGACUGGGAGCGCGCGCGUUAUAAGAAGCAGCAACCCGGGAUUCCCAGCAGAAGAGAAACCCGCAGAACAGCGUCAUUCAUUACGAGGGAGGCAGGCCGGAGAGAACCGUGACCGUCCUUUCAAAAAAUGGCCACUUAUUCCAGAAGAACUAUUGGCCAAGGAUGCUUUGGAAAAGUGUACAAAACACAAUACAAAGGUGAAACAACAGCAAUGAAAAAAAUUCCUGAAUCGAAUAUAAAACAGAAGAACAUUGAUAGAGAAAUCCAAAUAUACCAUGUCUACAGCAUUGCAGCGUCUUUAGUUCUUGAAACCUGUAAUUGAUAUCUGAUAUCUCCAAUAGGAAGCUAAAUCACCCGAAUAUUGUUAAGCUGCUUUUUUACCCUUGGAAAGAAGAUGGUACUUGGAAUUUCCCUUUGGAGUUUAUUGACGGAGAAGAUCUGGAGAAGGUCCUCUUCAAACAAAGGGAAUCCAGAAUCAAGUUGUCCAGGUCAGCCAAGGUUACCAUCAUCAACGGAAUGUGCCAAGGCUUAUCUUUCCUUCACGAUAAGAAUAUUGUGCAUCAGGACCUGAAACCAGACAAUAUCAUGAUUGAGUAUGGCACAUUCCGCCCUGUUCUAGUUGACUUUGGAGUGGCCAAAAUAACAUCUUCCACAGGCUUCUCUACUGCAACAAAUAACGGGAAUAGAGCUUAUGCAGCUCCAGAAGUCUGCCAAGGCUCCGAUCGAAAUAAAAGCACCGACAUCUGGGCUAUGGGGAAGAUCAUAGCUGAGCUGCUCCUAGGGAGCACAGUUGAGACGGAGAAAUGCGGCUGCAGAUAUGUUGAAGAAAUUCUGAAGGGAAUGCCAUAUGCUAAAUCAGUGAGUCAAAUGGUCUAUACCAAUCCAUGUCAGCGAGUUGAAAUGAGACAGAUAUUGGGGGACAUAGAAAUGGCUGGGGAGGCUUUCAAGAGGGAUAUAUUGAUGAUGCGCUUAUUUCCAAUCCAAUGUUUCAAGGUAGAACAACAGAGGUGACAAAAAAGCUAUAUGAUCCCGUGGAAAAGAGAAGUGUUUAUAGAAUACCUGAUGUUGGGGGAGCAAUGGUUCCUUUCAAUCCGGCAUCCAGCGAUCGUGCUUACUUCAGUGGUAUGAGUUUGGGCAGGGAUCCUUUAAUGGAGGUGAUGGAUAGCUUCAGAAGAGACAUGAAUCUAGGGAACUUCCCACAGACAGAAGUCAUCAAACACGAGACUCAGAAAUUAUUUCACUAUAGUUCCAGAGGGAACUUGGAUGUGAUCAGAGGUGGUCAGGUUGAAAAGGUUCAGGGACGAGUAAUUGGUUUCAAAUAUUUUGAGAGGAACAACCCACAGCCAUGAUUUGUAGCUGGCAGGCUGGAUUUAAAGCAGGACACAAAGUAUAUGUAUAUAUAUUGUGAGGUAUCAUCUUCCUUCUUAGUUAUUUUAAGGUUACUACAGCCUAGAAACCAAGUCUUCUUUAGCAUACAGCGCACUGGAGUCAAUGGUAGGGUUAAGUUGGAAAUUGUAUGAGCUCUUGAAAAAAUCCUGAAUCAGAGACAAGUCAACGAGCAAUUUGGGUUUUCCCGUUCUGGUGAGUUGCUUCACCGUUCUGUUAAAUCAUGUUGUGUGUGUCUUGAAUAUUGCUCCUGUACAUGUAUUCAUAAUUAAUCUAUAAUCAAAUUGAUUUUAUAACAUUUGCUGCAUGACAUUUUCUGAAUGCUACUAAAUAAAAAUGAUACAUUAUACACAAAUCCAUGUGGUAUUUUG